GGACUGUUAGCUCAGUUGGUUAGAGCAUUGCAUUCACAUUGCAGGGGUCACAAGUUCGAGUCCUGUACAGUCCA
rnacentral:tRNA from 2 species